UACGAAGGGGGCUAGCGUUGCUCGGAAUCACUGGGCGUAAAGCGCACGUAGGCGGCUUUUUAAGUCAGGGGUGAAAUCCUGGAGCUCAACUCCAGAACUGCCUUUGAUACUGAGAGCUUGAGUCCGGGAGAGGUGAGUGGAACUGCGAGUGUAGAGGUGAAAUUCGUAGAUAUUCGCAAGAACACCAGUGGCGAAGGCGGCUCACUGGCCCGGUACUGACGCUGAGGUGCGAAAGCGUGGGGAGCAAAUAGG
rnacentral:rRNA from 1 species